CAAUAGCGUAUAUUAAAGUUGUUGCAGUUAAAAGGCUCGUAGUUGAAUUUUUGCUUGCCGCCGAUGUGGGAACUUCCGUACGUUCGGCGGCGUGCAUCCUUGGGUGGAACCUGUGUGGCAUUAGGUUGUCGUGCAGGGGAUGCUCAUCGUUUACUGUGAAAAAAUUAGAGUGUUCAAAGCAGGCUUACGCCGUUGAAUAUAUUAGCAUGGAAUAAUAAGAUAGGACCUUGGUACUAUUUUGUUGGUUUGCGCACCGAGGUAAUGAUUAACAGGGACAGUUGGGGGUAUUCGUAUUCCAUUGUCAGAGGUGAAAUUCUUGGAUUUCUGGAAGACGAACUACUGCGAAAGCAUUUACCAAGGAUGUUUUCAUUAA
rnacentral:rRNA from 1 species